GUGUCUAUUGAAAGGAGAGCUGGUUAGCACUCCCCUUGACAAGGAUGGAACACAUAAAUGGUCGAAUGGCACUGUUACAUAUUCGGCCACAAUUUUUU
rnacentral:ncRNA from 1 species